rnacentral:piRNA from 2 species
UGAACUUGUGAUUGAAGAAGAGUCAGGGAAAC